GCUGUGGCUCCUGCAAUCUGUAACAUCAUUCCCCCCGAGGGGCACUCCAGGAGUCUCUUCUAUCACUUCAUCAGUCUUCUGAAAACUCCCCAGGAUCCACAAACAAGGAGGUUAUAGAGAUGUGAUCCAAACUAAGGCAAUCAUCACACUCUCAUUCCAAGUGGUAACUAAGGCUUCAGUCAAACUGUGCAGCGGAGCCUCAGAGAAUUUCCCAAGGUCUCUCUGAAGUCCAGCUGGGUCCAUUAUUGUAAACACCUGGAAUGAACCAAUCAAACAAGACCUAUCUCCCUGUGGUGUGGAGCAGCACCAGAGAGAUCUGAAGCAAUCCAAGAGUGGUCUGACUAUUACAAAAGACAGAUGUUAACAUCUCUCAAAUCAGAUCAUACUGCCAUUGCCACAAGUGCCACCCAAGUUGAUCAAGUCUGGGGAGCUUACAAUUAAAACCCAUUCAGAUGGCCAAACCAAAAUAAAAAUAAUGGACACCAAAAAGAACAAGAUGUGAGCAUGAAAAACUUUCAACAAAAGCAACAGCUCAUCCCAGGGCCUGGAGGAAGAGCCAGUUCUUCAAGGAUCAUUUAAAACUCUCAAGUCACCUUCCCAUGCUGCACCUGGCAUGGCACCAGGGACACCUGUGAUUUGAAGAGAAGAAAGAGGAAGACAGACCUUGUGAAGACAUAAUUCUUAUUCUUAAAAUGCCAGGUAAAUUACAGAUAGUCCUUGUUUAACAACCAACUUGUUCAGCAUGGGUGUGAUUCAAGGUGCUGGUUAUGACC